UACGUAGGGGGCGAGCGUUGUCCGGAUUUAUUGGGCGUAAAGAGCUCGUAGGCGGUUCGGCAAGUCGGAUGUGAAAUCUCCACGCUCAACGUGGAGGGGCCAUCCGAUACUGCCGUGACUCGAGUCCGGUAGGGGAGUGUGGAAUUCCCAGUGUAGCGGUGAAAUGCGCAGAUAUUGGGAGGAACACCAGCGGCGAAGGCGGCACUCUGGGCUGGUACUGACGCUGAGGAGCGAAAGCGUGGGUAGCGAACAGG
rnacentral:rRNA from 1 species